UACGUAGGUGGCAAGCGUUUGUCCGGAUUUAUUGUGUUUAAAGGGUGCGUAGGCGGCCCUGUAAGUCAGUGCUGAAAUACCCCGGCUUAACCGGGGGGGUGGCAUUGAUACGUGCAGGGCUUGAGUACAGAUGAGGUAGGCGGAAUUGACGGUGUAGCGGUGAAAUGCAUAGAGUAUCGUCAAGAACACCGAUAGCGAAGGCAGCUUACUGGGCUGUAACUGACGCUGAUGCACGAAAGUGUGGGGAUCAAACAGG
rnacentral:rRNA from 1 species